GAUGAACGCUGGCGGCGUGCCUAAUACAUGCGAGUCGAACGCUUCACUUCGGUGAAGAGUGGCGAACGGGUGAGUAAUACAUAAGUAACCUGGCAUCUACAGGGGGAUAACUGAUGGAAACGUCAGCUAAGACCGCAUAGGUGUAGAGAUCGCAUGAACUCUAUAUGAAAAGUGCUACGGGACUGGUAGAUGAUGGACUUAUGGCGCAUUAGCUUGUUGGUAGGGUAACGGCCUACCAAGGCGACGAUGCGUAGCCGACCUGAGAGGGUGACCGGCCACACUGGGACUGAGACACGGCCCAGACUCCUACGGGAGGCAGCAGUAGGGAAUUUUCGGCAAUGGGGGAAACCCUGACCGAGCAACGCCGCGUGAAGGAAGAAGUAAUUCGUUAUGUAAACUUCUGUCAUAGAGGAAGAACGGUGGAUAUAGGGAAUGAUAUCCAAGUGACGGUACUCUAUAAGAGAGCCACGGCUAACUACGUG
rnacentral:rRNA from 1 species